rnacentral:rRNA from 1 species
AACGAACGCUGGCGGCAUGCCUAACACAUGCAAGUCGAACGAGAUCUUCGGGUCUAGUGGCGCACGGGUGCGUAACGCGUGGGAAUCUGCCCUUUGGUUCGGAAUAACAGUUGGAAACGACUGCUAAUACCGGAUGAUUACGAAAGUCCAAAGAUUUAUCGCCAGAGGAUGAGACCGCGUAGGAUUAGCUAGUUGGUGUGGUAAAGGCGCACCAAGGCGACGAUCCUUAGCUGGUCUGAGAGGAUGAUCAGACACACUGGGACUGAGACACGGCCCAGACGCCUACGGGAGGCAGCAGUGGGGAAUAUUGGACAAUGGGCGAAAGCCUGAUCCAGCAAUGCCGCGUGAGUGAUGAAGGCCUUAGGGUUGUAAAGCUCUUUUACCCGGGAUGAUAAUGACAGUACCGGGAGAAUAAGCUCCGGCUAACUCCGUGCCAGCAGCCGCAGUAAGAC